UGUGAAGGAAAUAAUGCACGGAGAGUGGUUGAUACAGAGCCCGGUACAUGAUCAAGACUCAGAAACUAGUAGCAAUCAGCCAGCACUGAUAGGAUGAUCUCCUCCUCCUCUGGAAAGAUUGACUGGCUUGAAAGCUGCCCCCAGCACUUGCUUCUCAUGACAUCGGCUUGAGAAGGAGCCUCCUGCCUGAGGGGUCAGGUGUCCCCUUAUGAGAUGAGAGGUCAUGGCUCCAACUCAUCUUGACUAGUCAUCUCCAGGCGGAGAAGAAAAGCUGGACAAUUGCCUAUGAUCUCCCAGCCCACACGCACCUAGAAGGUGGCCCCUGAAGCCCCAGGAAAACACAGCCGGCCAGCAACGGCCCCCCCAACAUCACUCACAGCGAAACACUGGCCCUACUCGGAGGGGAAGUGCCUCUCGGCCCUAGAGAGGUUUAGGGCCCUUGGGGGAGCAGAAGCAGCGGAGGCGCCUCUUCUUCGCCUGUUUACCCGGGCCGGAUCUCAGGGAUGCAGAGAGGACAGGGUACUCAGCUAGAAGGCUGUGCCCAUUUAUGACUUCUGCACGUCCAGCUUCUGCCCCCAUCUAACUGGAUGCCAGGGUCCGCCAUCCUGGCCCACUUCACAGAUAAGUAGACAGGACCCGGCCCCUUCUGCUCCAGUGGCAGCACUGGAGGGGUUGCAAAGGCCUCUGUCCCCAUCUCUGCUCUUGUCCCUGCCUUUCUGCCCCUCUCCCUAAAGCUGUCUCAGCUCCUGGCUGUGUUCUGGACCUUUUCUAGCUCGACGAGAGGGCAGAGCCUGGCAGCCCCUGAGAUAAGUGCUGCGGUUGGGUAAGGAGGCCUCACCACCUGCAGGUCCGCGUUGCACAAGGAGUGGCCAAGCCGCGGAGGGAGCCGCCGGGCGGGGCGGGG